rnacentral:lncRNA from 1 species
GCAUUCAUGGACUAGCAUGGGUCAGAGAAACAGCUGGACUGGGAAUAGGUGGGUAGGUGAUCUUACAUUUGGCCGGUCGGAUCUGUGUCUUCUCUGCAAACAAAGGACGAGAACGCCACACUGAGAAAGUGUCCUGUGUCUCCCUGCCCACCCAUCCAGAGCCUUGCACUGACCGGUGUGGGCGGCCGCCGAGCUCCAGGUACGUGGAAAACGCGGGAAGCGCAGGCCGGACCUGCGGCUCAGCAACCGCGCGGAGACUCCUCUCAGGGACAUGUAGCCGGUGAGCAUUGCAGGAACCAUAACCUGGAAGGGCUGAGCGUCAGCGGGGACCAGCCUUCUCCCACCCCAUACCCUUCAUACCUGGUGCUUGCGGGCUGUGCUCCGGGACCAGCACACUAGGCCUAAUAGGGGUUGCUCAUUGGUUCCUCCUUGGUUCCUCCCAGAACACCGCCUCCUCUGUGGCUCUGCCUUUUAAAAGAGCCAAGGCAGCUGCCUGGUUUUGCAAGCGGGUUCUUCCAUGCCCAGGCAGGUCUCUCCUUUAAACAGCAGAACCAGGAAGGGGCGGAAACAAGUGUGCAAACCCGAUUGGCCAACUGUAUUUCUGCCCCGCCCAUUCCUGGUUAGCUAGUUGCCCAGAGCCUGAGAAGCGGGAUCCCAAGUUCAAUAAGAACGCCUGGAGGCCAGACCUUGCGAAAUCCGCAAAUGGGGUGCCUGCAGAGAGAAAGGUGGUGAGCCCCAUCCCAACUUGUUGCUUUGUGUGUACUUCGUGGAAGGAUGUGAUCUUCUGUGGCAAAGUAACUGCAUUUCUGUGUACCUGUGUGGUUCUCCUACCUUCUGGGUGUUGUGCAGAAUAAUCUAGAAUAUGUUAUAACUGGGUGUCUUGGAUGUUACAGUUUCUAUUGGAGUAUGCACUGAUUUGGAGAAAAUUAAGACAAGAAUAGAAAAGAAGGGGGGGCAUAACUGUAUAAACUCUCCUGAGAAAUAGUAACUGGUUAUCCUGACAAAGCAGCCAUCUAACAAUUGUCCUUCAAAAAGAGAAAGCUCUAACCAUAGCUCCAAUAUCUGAUUCUCAAAAGUGCUUGACUGACCAACCACACAGAGAGACUUCCCCUUAUAGACUUACAUCGACCCUUUUAUGGUUUUUAGUUUAAGGCACCAAUGAAGAUUAUUGGCUUAGCAAUAAUGUUAUAACUAUAAAUGUUAUAGAAACCCAUCUGUGCAAUUGCUCAGACCAACAGUAGGUUUCUCCUCUGGGCUUGUGAGUAAUAAAUUCUUCUGAUCCUCUUCUCAGUUGUCAAAGUCUGAGGGCAGCAACUUGUCAUUUGGACUUUCCUGUAACGCAUUUUAUGGGGUUGUAUUUCUAUCUUGUAACUGGCUAUGUAGCUGGGUAGUGGUGGCACACGCCUUUAAUCCCAGUACUUGGGAGGUAGGGGCAGGUGGAUUUCUGAGCUUGAGGCCAGCCUGGUGUACAGACUGAGUUCCAGGACAGCCAGAGCUAUACAGAGAAACCCUGUCUCAAAAAAAAUAAAUAAAUAAAAUAAAAUAACUGGC